GACGAACGCUGGCGGCGUGCCUAACACAUGCAAGUCGAACGGAAAGGCCCUGCUUUCGUGGGGUGCCCGAGUGGCGAAGGGGUGAGUAACACGUGAGUAACCUGCCCUAGACUUUGGGAUAACUUCAGGAAACUGGGGCUACUACCGGAUAGGAGCUCCCGCAGCAUGGAGGGGGUUGGAAAGUUUCGGCGGGUGGGGAUGGACUCGCGGCUUACCAGCUUGUUGGUUGGGUAGUGGCUUACCAACGAUUUGGCGGGUAGGCGGCCUGGGAGGGUGGCCGGCCACCUUGGUCCUGCGGGACGGCGCAGUCUCCUACAGGGGGCAGCAGUGGCGAGUAUUACACAGUCGGCGCGCGCCUGUUGCGGCAACCCCCCGUGCGUAAUGCCGGCCUUCGGGUUGUAAACCGCUUUCGUCUGUGACGAAGCGUGUGUGACGGUAAUGGAUGAAUAAGCACCGGCUAACUACGUG
rnacentral:rRNA from 1 species